rnacentral:rRNA from 1 species
GAGUCUGAUCAUGGCUCAGGACGAACGCUGGCGGCGUGCCUAACACAUGCAAGUCGAGCGAUGAACCCUUCGGGGGAUUAGCGGCGGACGGGUDAGUAACACGUGGGUAACCUGCCUCAAAGAGGGGGAUAGCCUCCCGAAAGGAAUUAAUACCGCAUAACAUCAAAUUAUCGCAUGGUAGUUUGAUCAAAGCAGUAAUCGACUUUGAGAUGGACCCGCGGCGCAUUACGUAGUUGGAGAGGUAACGGCUCACCAAGGCGACGAUGCGUAGCCGACCUGAGAGGGUGAUCGGCCACAUUGGAACUGAGACACGGUCCAGACUCCUACGGGAGGCAGCAGUGGGGAAUAUUGCACAAUGGGCGAAACGUGAUGCAGCAACGCCGCGUGAGUGAUGAAGGCCUUCGGGUUGUAAAGCUCUGUCUUCUGGGACGAUAAUGACGGUACCAGAGGAGGAAGCCACGGCUAACUACGUGCCAGCAGCCGCGGUAAUACGUAGGUGGCAAGCGUUGUCCGGAUUUACUGGGCGUAAAGGAUGCGUAGGCGGAUAUAUAAGUCAGAUGUGAAAUACCCGGGCUCAACUUGGGUGCUGCAUUUGAAACUGUAUAUCUAGAGUGCGGGAGAGGUAAGUGGAAUUCCUAGUGUAGCGGUGAAAUGCGUAGAGAUUAGGAAGAACACCAGUGGCGAAGGCGACUUACUGGACCGUAACUGACGCUGAGGCAUGAAAGCGUGGGGAGCAAACAGGAUUAGAUACCCUGGUAGUCCACGCCGUAAACGAUGGGUACUAGGUGUGGGAGGUAUCGACCCUUCCGUGCCGCAGUUAACACAAUAAGUACCCGCCUGG